CGACCUGGUUGAAGAAACUGAUGAGAACAAAUGGAAAAUUUAUUAAAUAUGAUCCAAUGUCAGGACAAAACACGACUUAGGUGUAAUUUAUCGCUUUCAGGUCACCUGACAAUAACAGGAUUGAGGUUACAGUAUGCCAUUCAAGCUGUGAUGAAAUAUAAAGUAAUGGUUUGAAUUUGGAGAGCUGCAUUACAUAUAUUAUAGACAGGGAUGAAGACCUGCAGUCAGACACCAGUUAAAAGUUACUUAUAACUCAUCAUGGUCAUUAUGGAAGAUCUGAUUAAAAUUUGUUUAGAAAGCCACCAAAUAUGUCCAUGAAAAAUAGAAAAAUGAUAGCAAUUCUACAUAAUGCACCGUACUUAGUAGAAGCAUUGACUGUUUCAAAACCAAAUGAAUUGGAAUUUAGUGUAUUGAUGCUGAAAGAGAGAGGAAUAUUAUUUAUUGGACAAUUUAACUUCUUUUUCAUCAUUAUUGAAGUUGAUACCAUCUUAAAGAGUUUUUACUUCAGUUAAAAGGAAUACCAAUAUACAUAAUAAAGGCAGUUUGGAGAUUUGUGAAUAUUCUUAAAAUAGGAGCUUCAAAAAGGAUUUCAGUUCAAAUAUUGUAUUU